GACGAACGCUGGCGGCGCGCUUAACACAUGCAAAUCGAACGGAAAGGCCUGCUUUCCCUUGUGGAUUGCGGGUACUCGAGUGGCGAACGGGUGAGUAACACGUGAGUGAUCUGCCCCCAACUUGGGUAUAAGCCUGGGAAACUGGGUCUAAUUCCCGAUAGGACUGCAGGGUGGUGCCUGUGGUGGAAAACGAUUUUCUAGUGGUUGGGGAUGAGCUCGCGGCCUAUCAGCUUGUUGGUGGGGUAAUGGCCUACCAAGGCGGCGACGGGUAGCCGGCCUGAGAGGGUGGACGGCCACAUUGGGACUGAGAUACGGCCCAGACUCCUACGGGAGGCAGCAGUGGGGAAGAUUGCACAAUGGGCGGAAGCCUGAUGCAGCGACGCCGCGUGGGGGAUGACGGCCUUCGGGUUGUAAACUCCUUUCGACCGCGAGGAAGCCACCUGGUUGGAAGGGUGGUGACGGUAGUGGUAGAAGAAGCACCGGCUAACUACGUG
rnacentral:rRNA from 1 species